GAUGAACGCUGGCGGCGUGCCUAAUACAUGCAAGUCGAGCGAAUGGAUUAAGAGCUUGCUCUUAUGAAGUUAGCGGCGGACGGGUGAGUAACACGUGGGUAACCUGCCCAUAAGACUGGGAUAACUCCGGGAAACCGGGGCUAAUACCGGAUAACAUUUUGAACCGCAUGGUUCGAAAUUGAAAGGCGGCUUCGGCUGUCACUUAUGGAUGGACCCGCGUCGCAUUAGCUAGUUGGUGAGGUAACGGCUCACCAAGGCAACGAUGCGUAGCCGAACUGGGAGGGUGAUCGGCCACCCUUGGACUGGACCACGGCCCAGACUCCUACGGGAGGCAGCAGUAGGGAAUCUUCCGCAAUGGACGAAAGUCUGACGGAGCAACGCCUCGUGAGUGAUGAAGGCUUUCGGGUCGUAAAACUCUGUUGUUAGGGAAGAACAAGUGCUAGUUGAAUAAGCUGGCACCUUGACGCUACCUAACCAGAAAGCCACGGCUAACUACGUGCCAGCAGCCGCAGUAA
rnacentral:rRNA from 1 species